rnacentral:tRNA from 2 species
UGGCGGAUGGUGUAGAGGUAGCACACGGGACUUUGAAUCCCAUAGCCCAGGUUCGAUCCCUGGUCCGCCAGCCA